UGGAGCUUAGGUGGUAAAGCUGGCUGUCUCGCCACUCACCUCCUGCUAUGCAGCCUGGUUCCUAGCAGGCUACUUACAAGUCCACACCCCUAUUAUAAAGUAUAAUUGAGCAGCAACAUCAUGGAAUCAUGGAACAAUACUUGACUUUCUAGGGGGAAGUGUGAAGGAGUGAAGAGGACAGACAGGGUCUUGCUGGAGUGCAGUCCCAGGCUGAAGAGAACCUCUCACCUCAGCUCCCAGAAUUGCUAGGACUACAGCCAUUUCCAGCUUCUGGUAAUCAUUCUAUUCUCUACUUCAAUGAGAUCAACUUCUGUGGCUCCCACAUAUGCCUGAGAACAGCGUCCACUGAACUCUCUGCAUUCACUGGAAAGGAGAUAUUUUUCACAGCAGAGCCUUAAUGAAAUCCAAAACAAGAUGAGUCUCAACCAAGGCAACCAAGGAGACCUGAUUACAGGGGACCUGUGAACUUCAUGUUAG
rnacentral:lncRNA from 10 species